rnacentral:rRNA from 1 species
AACGAACGCUGGCGGCAUGCCUAACACAUGCAAGUCGAACGAGACCUUCGGGAGUAGUGGCGCACGGGUGCGUAACGCGUGGGAACCUGACCUUAGGUUCGGAAUAACUACCCGAAAGGGGUGCUAAUACCGGAUAAUGUCUUCGGACCAAAGAUUUAUCGCCUUUGGAUGGGCACGCGUUGGAUUAGCUCGUUGGUAGGGUAAAAGCCUACCAAGGCGACGAUCCAUAGCUGGUCUGAGAGAAUGAUCAGCCACACUGGGACUAAGACACGGCCCAGACUCCUACGGGAGGCAGCAGUGGGGAAUAUUGGACAAUGGGCGAAAGCCUGAUCCAGCAAUGCCGCGUGAGUGAUGAAGGCCUUAGGGUUGUAAAGCUCUUUUACCCGGGAUGAUAAUGACAGUACCGGGAGAAUAAGCUCCGGCUAACUCCGUG